CGCCCCCUUAGUGACGCUCGUCUCAGUUCAGCACUCUGACUGCAUUUAUAAUUUCCUGAACGAGACGCACCGUCAAAAUCUCCUGCCACCAUGACUCUACUGGUGCUGCUCUCUGUCUUCGUAGUCUUCAUUCAGGACUCAAGAUGUCAGAUUUCUGUGACUCAACCAUCAGCCCCAAAGUCAGUUUCUCCUGGAGGGAGCGUCACCUUCAGCUGUACCACUGGAAGUAAUGUGUAUAGCUGGAUGGCCUGGUACCAGCAGAGACCCGGACAAACUCCUAAACUCCUAAUCUAUAAAGCAAGCUCUCUCUCCAGUGGCACACCAAGUCGCUUCACUGGCAGCGGUUCAGGAACUUCAUACAGUUUGACUAUCAGUGGAGUCCAGCCUGAAGAUGCUGGUCACUACUACUGUCAGCAGGGCUAUAACUGGCCUCUCACACAGUGAUUGAGACUCGUACAA